UCAGAGCCCUUAGAAGCUUUGUAGGUGUGGAUGAAGUGUCAUGUGUGCUUCUACGGGUGACAGAGAGGAGAGAGGAUAAGUCUACACUCUCUCUGCUGACCUGCGAACAGCUGAAUGAUAAGCAGCUUGCAUU